rnacentral:rRNA from 1 species
AAUAUUGCACAAUGGGCGAAAGCAUGAUGCAGCAACGCCGCUUGAGCGAUGAAGGCUUNCGGGUCNUNAAUCACUGUUUAAAGGGNCAAUAAUGACGGUACCUUAGGAGGAAGCCCCGGCUAACUGCGUGCCAGCAGCCGCGGUAAUACGUAGGGGGCAAGCGUUAUCCGGAUUCAUUGGGCGUAAAGGGUGCGUAGGCGGCCCUAUAGGUCAGAGGUCAAAGGCUACGGCUCAACCGUAGUAAGCCUUUGAAACUGUAGGGCUUGAGUGCAGGAGAGGAGAGUGGAAUUCCUAGUGUAGCGGUGAAAUGCGUAGAUAUUAGGAGGAACACCAGUGGCGAAGGCGACUCUCUGGACUGCAACUGACGCUGAGGCACGAAAGCGUGGGGAGCAAAC